rnacentral:lncRNA from 1 species
UUUGUGUGUGUGUGAGAUGCGUGUGUCAGGUGGGUGAUGUGUGUGUGUGUGUAUGUGUGAUGUGUGUGUGAUGUAUGGGUGAUGUAUGCGUGAUGUGGNGUGUGUGUUAUGUGUGUGAUGUGUGUGUGUGAUGUGUCUGUGUGUGCGCAUGAUGUGUGUGUAAUGUGUGUGUGUGUGUGAUAUGUGUGUGUGUGAUGUGUGUGUGAUAUAUGUGUGUGUGAUGUGCUUGUGAUAUAUGUGAUGUGUGUGUCUUUGUGUGUGAAUGUGUGUGAUGUGUGUGCGAUGUAUGUGUGUAUGUGAUAUGUGUGCGUGUGAUAUGAUAUAUGUGUGUGUGUGCCAUAUGUGUGCGUGUGUGUGUGUGUGUGUGAUGUGUGAUGUGUGUGUGAUGUAUGUGUAUGUGUGUGUGUGACGUGUGUGUGUGUAUGUGAUGUGUGUGUGUGUGUGUGAUGUGUGUGUGUGUGUGUGUGAUGUGUUUGUGAUAUAUGUAUGUGUGUGUGUGUGAUGUGUGUGUAUGUAUGAUGUGUGUGUGUGAUGCGAUAUAUGUGUGAUGUGUGUGUGAUAUGUGUGUGAUGUGUGUUUGUGUGUGUGUAUGGGUUAUGU